CUGGGAAAAGUUAGAAGUGCAAUGGCCCUGAGCUGGCGGGACUGUGAGAACAGUGACUACUCACUAAUUCACAUGCGGCUGCCAGCUACCCAAGGACAGCAGUAGCUCUGGUAUCCAGGGAUGAUACACAGGUCAAGGGCUGCGAGAGCACUGGCUUUUCACUCUCCUGCGCCGCUACCUGAGUAAACUCCCCUAUCCUACCUUUUCUUGAGUGUGAGGUUGGCUCUGGACAUCGAAAAAUGGGAGAGAGCAAAGCCCCCAAACUCAGCCACACUGAGAGGAUGGGCAAAAGGAUCUGAGGAGACUGAGGUGGAAUCUACUCAUUUCUGCUUCAGAAAGGUAGAAAGAUCUCCAUUUUAAAGACCAAGGCAAAGCGGCUGAAGGUGAUCCACUCUGGGGGCAGUGAGAUUCUACCAAUUUCGGACUACUGAGCUGCAGCUGUCUGAGGAUCAACUGCAAAACUCAAAACAAAAACAAA